GUUACAGUGCUUUGGCAGUAGAGACUUCCUAACAUGAAAAUCAACCAUGAGAAUACUUUUUUUGUUCCUUUACUUUAAAUGGCGUAUAUGCAGAUAUUUUCUAGAGGACAUGUAGCAAAUUAGAAAGCAUAUCCUGGACACAACAAGAACAGAAGGUGUCUGGCUGUUAGACCAGCGCUGGAUGUACAAUGUGGUUAUUGGAGGAUAAGAAAAAUAAUAAAGACAAAGACCACUGGAAAACACCCACACAUAGAUAGUGGACAAAGGAAGAAAGGCAGAUUCCUGCUUUUGAAUCACAAGUGGGAUUACAGGCUUAUGUGAGCAAAAGGAGAAAAUACUGUACCUCCUUACUAACCUCUGAAAGCUAUUAGAAGGGAAGAAGUGACCCAGCCUCCUCCUGCUUUUGUUUAAAGUUGCAAGUUUUUGUGAACAGCAGUCAGGCAAGAGUAUGAGAAUGGAUUGAAGUAAACAGGGGUGAGGUGUAGCUUUGAAGUAUUUCAGUUGUCUUUUCUAUUUUUAUCAUUAUUUGUAACACUAUUUUAUCAUGCAUCA
rnacentral:lncRNA from 1 species